rnacentral:misc_RNA from 1 species
GGAAGUAAAAGUCGAACAAGGUCUCCGUUGGUGAACCAGCGGAGGGAUCAUUACUGGAAUCGCAAGAUCCCACAACCCCUGUGAACCUACCGAAACGUUGCCUCGGCGGGCGCCCGGCCCCGCGCCGGGCGCUGAGCCCGCCGGCGGCCCCCUACUCUUGUCUCUGCAGCGUGUCAUCUCAGAGUCCCAGAAAACAAGUAAAAACUUUCAACAACGGAUCUCUUGGCUCUA